rnacentral:rRNA from 1 species
UCUGGUUGAUCCUGCCAGUAGUCAUAUGCUUGUCUCAAAGAUUAAGCCAUGCAUGUCUAAGUAUAAGCAAUUAUACAGUGAAACUGCGAAUGGCUCAUUAAAUCAGUUAUCGUCUAUUCGGUAGUACCUUAUUUACUUGGAUACCCCUGGUAAAUCUAGAGCUAAUACAUGCGAAAACUCCCGACUGAUUGGAAGGGAUGUAUUUAUUAGAUACAGAACCAAUGCCCUCGGGCCUUUUGGUGAUUCAUAGUAACUUUUCGAACCGCAUGGCCUUGAGCUGGCGGUGGUCCGAUCGAAUUUCUGCCCUAUCAACUGUCGAUGGUUAAGUAGUGGUUAACCAUGGUAGCAACGGGUAACGGGGAGUUAGGGCUCGACUCCGGAGAGGGAGCCUGAGAAACGGCUACCACAUCCAAGGAAGGCAGCAGGCGCGCAAAUUACCCAAUCCUAAUUCAGGGAGGUAGUGACAAUAAAUAACGAUACAGGGCCCUUUGGGUCUUGUAAUUGGAAUGAGUACAAUGUAAACACCUUAACGAGGAACAAUUGGAGGGCAAGUCUGGUGCCAGCAGCCGCGGUAAUUCCAGCUCCAAUAGCGUAUACUAAAUUUGUUGCAGUUAAAAAGCUCGUAGUUGAAGUUCGGGUCUGGCUUUCUGGUCCGCUUUUUUGCGAGUACUGGGUUUGAGCCGGAUCUUUCUGUGUGGGUUGCUCCUUGUGGGCUGUUCACACGUUUUACCUUGAAUAAAUUAGAGUGUUCAAAGCAGGCCUUUGCUCGUAUAGUUCAGCAUGGAAUAAUGGAAUAGGACGUUUUGUUUCUAUUUUGUUGGUUUCUAGAAACAUCGUAAUGAUUAAUAGGGACGGUCGGGGGCAUCAGUAUUCAAUUGUCAGAGGUGAAAUUCUUGGAUUUAUUGAAGACUAACUACUGCGAAAGCAUUUGCCAAGGACGUUUUCAUUAAUCAAGAACGAAAGUUAGGGGAUCGAAGAUGAUCAGAUACCGUCGUAGUCUUAACCAUAAACGAUGUCGAUUAGGAAUCGGGUGGAGUCGUUUUAUUGACGCACUCGGCGCCUUGUGCGAAAGCAAAAUAAGACUCUGGGGGGAGUAUGGUCGCAAGGCUGAAACUUAAAGGAAUUGACGGAAGGGCACCACCAGGAGUGGAGCCUGCGGCUUAAUUUGACUCAACACGGGGAAACUCACCAGGUCCAGACACAAUAAGGAUUGACAGAUUGAGAGCUCUUUCUUGAUUUUGUGGGUGGUGGUGCAUGGCCGUUCUUAGUUGGUGGAGUGAUUUGUCUGCUUAAUUGCGAUAACGAACGAGACCUUAACCUGCUAAAUAGUGCGACUAGCUUUUGGCUGGUGGGACACUUCUUAGAGGGACUAUCGAUUUCAAGUCGAUGGAAGUUUGAGGCAAUAACAGGUCUGUGAUGCCCUUAGACGUUCUGGGCCGCACGCGCGCUACACUGACGGAGCCAGCGAGUAACAUCCUUAACCGAGAGGUUUGGGUAAUCUUGUGAAACUCCGUCGUGCUGGGGCUGGUCGUCUGCAAUUUUUCGACCUCAACGAGGAAUUCCUAGUAAGCGCAAGUCAUCAGCUUGCGUUGAUUACGUCCCUGCCCUUUGUACACACCGCCCGUCACUACUACCGAUUGAAUGGCUUAGUGAGGCCUCGGGACUGGCUUAGCGCGAGAGGCGACUCUUGCACGGAGCUGGGAACCUGGUCAAACUUGGUCAUUUAGAGGAAGUACAAGUCGUAACAAGGUUUCCGUAGGUGAACCUGCGGAAG